AUACUAACCUUUAAAUGUAGAUUCACUUUUUUUUUCUUUUUCUUUUUUUUUAAUAAUAAAAAAAAUACAAGAAAACAAAUAAAAGAAAUUAUUCACAAAAAUUAAUUCUAUGAAUUAAAAUUACUUACCUCCGUGGCAACGGCGCCAAAAACUUGUUGUGCAAAUUUUAAUGUACUCGCAAGCGCACGAAUCUAUUGUAGUAUAGACUAAUGGUGACGAGUGUCGAUCCACGAGGAGGUGGAUUUUAAUUGUGUAGAAUUAAUUUUGUAAAUGGGUGAUUGGAUUUGUGGUGGAAAUGAUUUGGGAUAUGCUAAAACUUAAAUUAAAAUGGCGAUAAUAAAUUCUAAAAUUGGAAUUAAAAUGGCGAGAAUAAAUUGAAGAGAAUUCUAUUAAAAUGACGUACUUGAGUAUCUGGAUCCGUAUCAACAUGCAUCAUGGGCUAAAUAAUCUGUAUUAAUGCCAAUUAAAUCAUGAGAGGGGAAUCCACACCUCAUGAACCACACUCUAAUCAAUAUGGUGCUAAGGGCUUAUCGUGCCAAAUAAUAAUAACCUUGUACUAGAGGGCCGGUGAAACCAAGGCGGUACUAGACAAGAUUAGUAUUAUUUGUCGACGAGAAGUCAAAACAUCCACAAAAACUAGAGGGGAAGAGAAAAUAAAUUUACCAAAUAAAGCCCAUGACACAUGUUGAGACUUCACCUUCAACCCAAGCUUGAAAGAAAAUUAGCCACUCAUACUUGAACUAAGGGCAAAAUGGGAAUUUAUUAAAAUAUGAAGAAAAUACUAGAUGGAGAGGGAAUUACAGAAAACAGAGUCCAAAAAUGGAUUCAGAGAUAUAAAAUUAGGGGGGAGAGGCCCCCUUUUUAUAGAUACAUGGAGUAAAUCAUGGUCAUCGGAUUAAAAACAGUUUGGACGCUCAGGAUUGCGCCACGUCAUCAGUCAACAGUCCACGGUUUGACCACGCGGAUGAACAGUAACACGGUUUGACCCGACUUUGAACAGUAACGCGGUUUGACCCGGAUGAACAGUAACGCGGUUUGGUUGAAAAUAAUCCUGUGUGAUGCAUGCACCGUACGCGAGAUUUUUCGUCUACUGAUAUGCUGCCACGUCACCAUCAACAGUACAUAAGAAUUUUAGUCCAACAGGAUCGUGACACCUCAUCAGUCAAUGCCACAUCAUCGGUCAAUGCCACGUCAUCAUCCGUCUAUGUGAACAAUGUCGUGAAUAGUAACGUAUACAGUAUCGUACACGUUAAUAAUACCGUACAUGUGAAUAGUGCCAUUUUUCCUUUUAUGCUCCUCCUAAGGUUUUUGACCGUCCUGAGUUCAAAAGUGAUGUCCGUUUUGCCGUC
rnacentral:lncRNA from 1 species